rnacentral:rRNA from 1 species
AUGGAGCCGCCACUUUCUCCGCUGGGCGCCGGCGCUGUCUGCUGCAUGUGCGGCGAUCGCGGCCUGCCGCACGAGCUGCUCCGCUGCAAGCUCUGCCGCGUCCGCCUGCAGCACAGAUACUGCAGCGAUCUGUAUCCGAGGGCCACGGCGUACAGGAGGUGCAACUGGUGCCUGAGGGAGCCCGCAGAAGCCCAUGCCCAACCCCACGCUCAGCCGGUGAAAAACAAGAAGGCGGAGAAACGGAAGAUGGUGGCAUCAACGGAGACGUCCGCCUCCGGCGAGGAGGAGCGGCGGCAGCACGAGGCCGGAUGCACCACUGCUACGAGGUCGAGGAGAUCGGCUGCGGAGGUUGGUAAGCCGGUCAAGAAGCCCAAGGUCGACGAGAGGCCACCGCUGCCCCCGUCGCCAGGCACGGCAGCGAAGGGGAACAGCGGUGACACGAAGCCCAAGGUCGACGAGAGGCCACCGCUGCCCCCGUCGCCGGGCACGGCGGCGAAAGGAAACAGCGGCGACAAGAAGCCUAAGGUCGACGAGUGGCCGGUGCUGCCCCCGUCGCCGGGCGUGGCGGCGAAGGGGAACAGCGGUGACAAGAAGCCCAAGGUCGACAAGAGGCCAGCGCUGCCUCCGUCGCCGGGCACGGCGGCGAAGGGGAACAACGGCGACAAGAAGCCUAAGGUCGACGAGUGGACGGCGCUGCCCCCGUCGCCGGGCACGGCGGCGAAGGGGAGCAGCGGCGACAAGAAGCCGAUGCAGGCGGGGAAGCUGGCGCGGCCGGGUAGGGUCAAGGUGAGGAGGUACAAGCUCCUGGCAGAGGUGAUUAGCUGCUAG